UUUAUUGAAUACUUAGUGUUUCUCAGGAAUCAUAUGAAGUUUUAUUCUAACAACAACCCCAUGAGUUAAAUUUAAUUAUAUAUUUUAUAAAUGAUAAUUUUGAGCAAAUUAAUCAUAGUUACACAGUUAUUAAUCAAUUUAUACUCAGAUCUUCCUGAUUCCAAGUAGAUGCUUAUAAAACACUACAUAGCGUGAUUAACUUCUUCUGGACACCUCAGAGCUAAUUUUACAUGGCAGAUCCUACAUAUUCCUAAUGUGGGCAGUUUCUUUCAUAGUGUUAUCUUAGGUGAUGUCCCUUAAAAUAGUGUCCUGUCCAAAAAUAUCUCCCCUGUGGUCUGUGGUUACACUAACAUUCCACCAUACGUAAAAUACUGCUUAAAAGCAAUGUAUUCAGUGCAUUUUCAAUUCUCAUCUCUCUCUUCUUUGGCUCCUCUCAGUUGUAAAAAUAUUUCUUUUCUAUACCUAGGUAACACUUCCAUCUGUACUUUUGCAUUCAUCAUUUCCUCCUUUCCGUAGAACAGAAGUUCUCAGACUGUGCUGCCUAGAACCUCCUGGCAGGGACAGUGGCACAGAGAAGACAGGACCCUGAUGCCCCAGCCUCUCUUCAUCCAGAGCAACUCUGCCUUCACCUGCUCAGACAUGGGCUCAUAAAUAUCUUCAUUUGAAUAACAGGGUAUAAAAGAAGCCGAUUGAUCCGACAAAAAUUUCAUUAAUAGCAUGCAGUCAUUCAUCAGAGGGUACACAAGACCUUGGAUUUCAUAUAUAUAAAGGAGGUAAAUUAAGGUUGUCUCUUAGCUGCUGUACUCGCUGACUUCUCUCCCCUUGUCUUUUGUUUGAAGACAUAAAUUUCAAGAUGUGUGUGUUUAAGGAGUGGGAGUAUGAAGGUGUGUAUUUGGAAAAAGGAUGAGCGUAAAAUGGCUUAAGUCAGAAAAUUGUCAUUGAAAAUAGGAACAUUGGUGUCAUUUUGCCUUAUAUCACAAGGUGUCAGGAUUAUGUCAGCAAAUUAAAAAACUUUCAGUAUCAACAAGCCUAUUUCUGAAAAUCAUUAUUUGCCACCUGCAGUGAUCCCUUCUCCUAAUGCUCCAAUACAUAAGCCUAAGAGUGAGGCAUACCUCCAUGUGUACACACAUACAUAUGUAAAGUUACAAACACCAGCAAAUUAAAGACAAAUAAUUGAAGGGCGUGGGGAUUGAACUGUGUAUGACAAUUGUAAAGGAAACAACUGGUAUUGUCUGGAGAUGUACAGUAUGAGUGUGGACAAAGAAAUCAGUGGAUGUUAAGAAGGGCAUACAAAAUGAAUUUUAAAUGUACCCUUGAUUUUAAAAAGACCAGCCAGAUUUGAAAAUGGCUGCAAACUCAAAUAGACAUUUGAACUCAAGUGAAACAAGAGAGAACAAAGUCAUUUUACAUGUGUCACAUUAUGCCGAAACACCCUCUUCAAGGGUUGCAGAUACAAGCCCUGUUUAUAGCUGUACUACUUUGUCAUUUCACUAUGGGUGUAUAUAUGCAUUGUGAAAUAGAUGUGUGUAUUUCGGGAUGAAUUUUUAUGGUUUCAUAAAUCAUGACUAGUUCAAUCACUGUGCAAUGAAUCCUGCGCUCACAAAAUCAAACUAAACAGAAUAAGACAAAAAUCACAAAGUAAAAGCUGAAAUGAAUUUUUCCAAGAAAGAUUAAAUUUUUGAUGUAUGUGGAGCUUUAAAUUGUUAUAAUUUUAAUGCCUUUACAUAUGUUCAUUUCUGUAUUUAUUCAAAUAUUACUAGUGUCAUUGUGCCCUUAGGAUUAGUGUGCAUGCCUACCUCUGUGGGCAGAGUGAAAUGUAUUGAAUAUAGCAGUUGGGAAUCUAGUAAGAAAAACAGAAGUAACAUUAUUUUAAUGUAGUAAUUCAAUGUUAGGAAAUGACUUAACGUAUUAGUUAUUCAACAGAGAAAAUUUAUUAUAAGUAAUUCAUUUAAAAAAGUAUUGAGAGACUGAAAGGAAAAGUGGAUAUUGUGUAAUAUGAAGCAUUAGCUAGAUUGGUUCCCUUUUCGACCCAUUGGGGAUCUUGGCUCUUUGCACCACAGCUGUCACCCAGAGGGGCAGAAAUCUGGGAGGAUAAGAAGAUAGGUUCUAGACAAGAAUGAUGGACCUUUGUAGUCUGAAUCUUUUGUGUCCCCUGAAAAACUCAUAUGCCAUCUGGUCGCGGUGGCUCACAGCUGUAAUCCCAGCCCUUUGGGAGGCUGAGGCAGG